rnacentral:rRNA from 1 species
UGAGGAAUAUUGGUCAAUGGGCGAGAGCCUGAACCAGCCAAGUAGCGUGCAGGAUGACUGCCCUAUGGGUUGUAAACUGCUUUUAUAUGGGAAUAAAGUGAGGGACGUGUCCCUUAUUGCAUGUACCAUACGAAUAAGGACCGGCUAAUUCCGUUCCAGCAGCCGCGGUAAUACGGAAGGUCCAGGCGUUAUCCGGAUUUCUUGGGCUUAAAGGGAGCGUAGGUUGUUUGUUAAGCGUGUUGUGAAAUGUAGGAGCUCAACUUUUAGAUUGCAGCGCGAACUGGCAGACUUGAGUGCGCACAACGUAGGCGGAAUUCAUGGUGUAGCGGUGAAAUGCUUAGAUAUCAUGACGAACUCCGAUUGCGAAGGCAGCUUACGGGAGCGCAACUGACGCUAAAGCUCGAAGGUGCGGGUAUCGAACAGG